AUUGAACGCUAGCGGGAUGCUUUACACAUGCAAGUCGAACGAGUGGCGGACGGGUGAGUAAUGUAUGGGGACUGCCCGAUAGAGGGGGAUAACUACUGGAAACGGUAGCUAAUACCGCAUACUAUCGGAUAACCCAUAUGGGAUUAGCUAGUAGGUGGGGUAAUGGCGGACCUAGGCGACGAUCCCUAGCUGGUCUGAGAGGAUGAUCAGGCACACCGGGACUGAGGCACGGCCCAGACGCCUACGGAGGCAGCAGUGGGGAAUAUUGCACAAUGGGCGCAAGCCUGAUGCAGCCAAUGCGCGUGUAUGAAGAAGGCCCUAGAGUUGUAAAGUACGUUCAGUCGGGAGGCGUUACCUGCAGAAGAAGCACCGGCUAACUACGUGCCAGCAGCCGCGGUAAUAC
rnacentral:rRNA from 1 species